rnacentral:lncRNA from 1 species
UUCCGACUAUUUUAUCUGUCGAAUGUAUUUAUUAUUCAACCAGAAAAUGAUUCAAACGAAUAUACGUACCCACAUAGAAGGUGACAACUUCGACGUCAUAGAAUUUGUAUCACUAUAACCACGUAGUAUGUAAUCCACGAUACAAUAUUAUAAUACUGAGAACAACAACAGCGUAAGUGAAACAAUGAAUCACAAACCUUCAAGAAUUACCGGAAAAGUAUGCUUAUAAGAGUGAAUCUUUCUCUCUGGAAUAUCAUAAUUAACUUAAAAAAGAAAUUAACUCUUCUUUGGAGCAAGCUUGGCCUUGAUGUCAUCAACCUGUUUAGUAUCAAUCUGAAAAGCCUGAGCAAGAACAUUAUCAGGCACAGUUGGUGUUGAGCUGAAAAGAGCUGCAGCUACAGAAAANGUUCCAGGAAGUUGGCUGUUGAAAGCAGAAAGCACCGAAGCAGGCUUAUCUCCACUGUUCUUCUGAUAAUGCACCAAACCUUUAGGGAACACAAAGAUUUCACCUUUCUUGAUGGACUUUGAGAUGAGUUUGUUGGCUGUGGUGAUAAACCCCACGUCUAAUUGACCAUCCAACACAAACACAAUCUCAGUGGCACGAGGGUGUGUGUGAGGUGGGUUAAGUCCCCCAGCUUUAUAGUCUAUUCUAGAGAAAGACACUCCCAAUGUGUUAAGUCCUGGGAUUUUUUCCACAUUGGCUGCAGUAACUACAGAUCCCAAUGUGUUGUUGAUAACUCCAGGUUUCGCUAAGCCAGCAAAGAAGAAAUCAGCUUCUGUCACAUUAGUCUCUGCCUUGCAGGCAAAUCCAUUCACCUUCACACCUGAAUACAAUUUAUUACACACCACUGGUUACUGCACUAUUUUCCUAGGCACAACUUUGGCAUAUUUAUUUGAACUAUAAGAGCAGAGAGAGAAACUAAAAUGGCGGUGAAUAGUAAUAUAUGCAUAUUAUUACCUGAAGAGGGAAGUGCGACACAAAGGUCUUGAAGUGUGUCAGGGUCAGAAGCGAAGGCAAAUGAGAAGGCACAACAGAAGAUGACCAAAAUUGCAUAAGUGUUUGUUGGCAACAUGGUUUGGAUUUGGAAUGAUGAUUGAGCUAUUUGCAAGGAGUGGAAACAGAAAGGGAUUUUUGAUAUGAUUAGAGAUAAUAGUGGAAUGUUUGUGUUGGAUGACUAAAAUUGUGGCAAGUUGGCCUCUUUAUAUAUGCAUUAUUUUGUAAACAGGUAGUGGUUCUAGACAUAGUAGAUGAGAACGAUGUGAUUGUAAAGCAUUUCAGUGGUCCAUAGACUUAAACUCAAAGCGAUUGUGUGUUAAGGCUUAAUGGGAAUCCUAUAAACUUUUUAUGUCUUUAUUAGAAAAGAAAAUCAUUCAUGCAAGAAAAAAUCAGCAUAUAAAUUAGGUGGUUGCUUGCGGACAAUAUGCAGACAGUGACUGUCUAAUGAAGAGGAGUUUGGUGAGAGAUGCCAGAUUAUAGUCAGAUGCAGACUUUGUCCAUGCAUUGUUGUGAAGUGAAAUAUUUAGUUUUAAAUUUAGAAGAAAGAAUGUCUAGAUUUAAGAGAAAAAGAGAAAAAGGGUGUUUGAUCAUUAAACCAAUGUAGUUAUUAUAUGAACUAAAUUAAACUUUUUGCUAAAUCAAUUCUCAAUUUAGUUAUAUUAUGUCAUCUUUUGAGUCAUUACUAAGACAGAUUAAGUUUGACUCAAUUGUCAAUCUGAACAACCUUAGGAAAUGGAUGAGAGGCAUAGGCCCCUUUAGAAGCGCGACACGCACUCCUUCAGUUCCUCUGUUGCUUUCACGGUUAGGCCCAUUUGAAAACUGAUUUUUCUAAAUUAGUCAGAUAAUAAAAAUGUGUGUGUGUGUGUGUAUAUAUAUAUAUAUAUAUAUAUAUAUAUAUAUAUAUAUAUUAACUUGAAAUGUUUUACCACAGACAUGUUGAUUUAGUAUAAAAGGAAAAAGUUAUCUCAUUCUAUCCCAGUCUAUUUUAAUCUUUUAAACAAUAAUAAUGAUUUACAGUUUCAUGUCAUUACUAUCUCCAGAUUGAAGUAGUUGGUUUUCGUUUGUCUAUGGCAGCACGUUUGUUUCGGCAAGCUGCUGCUAUUGCAGUUGUUUGGAAUGUACCAUGUUCUUAGCAGUAACGCAUCAUAUGAAAAUGAGAUGCCAAAGUUUAAACGUAACGCUUUUACCCUUCAACAUUCUACAACAACAUUUCCCUCACUAUUACCCUCAACCACCCACCUACUGCUACAAUGCAGAGGUAAAGGCAAGGACUUGGACUCUGUAUAGCAUAUAUCAGUAUAAUAUUGGUAUGAACUGUAUGAAACAAAUAAAAGCAUUGUUACUCUUAAUACUUUUGAUAAUACAUAAUAAUGAAGUAUUAACAAAGUAUCAGAAUUUAUGUAAGUGAAUCACAUUGAAAUGUGUUUGAUAGUGAAUAGAGACUUAUAUACGAAGGUACAUGCAUGUAUAAGAAAUUUCAUUGGUGAUUCAAAAUCAUCAUAAAUGCAAGUUCUUAGCAUAGAUGAGCAGAUAUUGUCAAAUAAAUCAGUACUUCUCAAUUUCGAAAGAACAGCUAGAUAAACCAAAUCAAACUAAAUACAUAUAUGCUUAAAAUCUGAGUCAAUUUCACAGGCAGUAUAGACCAACCGAUCAACACAAAUCCUAAAACUAGCGAUCGGUCAACCUAUAAUAUAGACCAACCGAUUAACACAAAUCCUGAAAGAAACAGUCAGAUAAAGCAUGUUUAUGAAACAUUGGAUCAUAACUGGACCAACUUUAACCAAAAACAUACUUCGAAAUCUAUAAAUAAAAAGAUAAUAUAAGAAGGUAUAUAUGUGUGACAUUUAUUGAACAUUUAACUUAAUUAUGAUAACCGAUCGGUAACUUGAGUACCUACUGCUCGAAUUUAGAUAAUAUGAAGGUGUAGUUCUAACCCUACGUACCGAAACAGGAAUGAUCCAAUCAAACUUAAUUGCAUGCAUGCUUAGAAAUGAACACACUGGAAAAAUGAAACUUGUGCCUACCUAUUAUUCAUAAUUUAUAAUUUCACCAGUUCAGCUGUCUUGAUGUGUUGAGAGACUCUUUGGUUUUCUUUUAUAUGUGGAUAUUUAAUUUGAUCACCGCAAAUAUUCUUUUCCACCAAAAACCACUUUACGUGUUGUCCAUCACUCCAUUUAUUUUCUAAUUACAGGGCAUGCAAUAAUGAAAUCCCUUCUGUAGGAGAAUUUUCUCUGCAACAUAAAACCAUUGAUCACAUUCUCUCUUUAACAACUAUUAUUGGAAUAAGUAAUUAAUGGUUCAGAUUUUGUAGGACUGAAGAGAAGUUUGACUAGAGAGGUCCUAAGUUAAGAAGGAUAUUUGAAUGCCUCCAAUUAUAAGAUGUCUGACGUCUUACCAGACUGAUUUAACUACUAACCAACAUGAAAGAGAAAGUGAGGUGGUAAAGGUCCAACCUUUAUUGAUAUGUGUUUACAAAAUAAUGAAUCACAAAACCAAGAAAUGAGUGUACCAAGGGUGACACCUUCUACUACAUAUUCCGUGUUACAACAUGCUCAAUGCCACAUAAACGAGGAAAGGGCACCUGAUAAAGGAAAAAUAAUAACAAGGAAAGCGCAACACCAUAACAGAUACAACCAAUCAUAUCUCUCUCUCUUGAAUAUCAUUAAGCUCGAUUUAAAAAUCAAGUCUUCUUAGGAGCAAGCUUGGCCUUGAUGUCAUCAACCUGUUUAGUAUCAAUCUGAAAAGCCUGAGCAAGAACAUUAUCAGGCACAGUUGGUGUUGAGCUGAAAAGAGCUGCAGCUACAGAAAAUGUUCCAGGAAGUUGGCUGUUGAAAGCAGAAAGCACNGAAGCAGGCUUAUCUCCACUGUUCUUCUGAUAGUGCACCAAACCUUUAGGGAACACAAAGAUUUCACCUUUCUUGAUGGACUUUGAGAUGAGUUUGUUGGCUGUGGUGAUAAACCCCACGUCUAAUUGACCAUCCAACACAAACACAAUCUCAGUGGCACGAGGGUGUGUGUGAGGUGGGUUAAGUCCCCCAGCUUUAUAGUCUAUUCUAGAGAAAGACACUCCCAAUGUGUUAAGUCCUGGAAUUUUUUCCACAUUGGCUGCAGUAACCACAGAUCCCAAUGUGUUGUUGAUUACUCCAGAUUUGGCUAAGCCAGCAAAGAAGAAAUCAGCUUCUGUUACAUUUGCCUCAGCCUUGCAUUCAAAUCCGUUCACCUUCACACCUGCACAUAAUUAAUUCACACUUGUACUAUUUUCCUAAACACAACUUUGGCACAUUUAUUUGAACUAUAUGAUAGCAGAAUGAGAAAAGAAAUUGUGAAUGGUUAGGCAUGGUACCUGAAGAGGGAAGUGCCACACAAAUGUCUUGAAGUGUGUCAGGGUCAGAAGCAAAAGCAAAGGAGAUGGCAGAGCUGAAGAUGACAAAAAUUGCCAAAGUGUUUGUCAGUGACAUGUUUUGGAUGAUAAUAGUUAUGUCAAUGAGUGAAAACAGGAAGAAUUUAUGUAGCAAGAGAUAAGAGAGGAAGGUUUUAUAUAGUUGGUGAGAAAU